rnacentral:rRNA from 1 species
UACGAAGGGGGGCUAGCGUUGCUCGGAUUUACUGGGCGUAAAGGGCGCGUAGGCGGACAGUUAAGUCGGGGGUGAAAGCCCGGGGCUCAACCUCGGAAUUGCCUUCGAUACUGGCUGUCUUGAGUACGGGAGAGGUGUGUGGAACUCCGAGUGUAGAGGUGAAAUUCGUAGAUAUUCGGAAGAACACCAGUGGCGAAGGCGACACACUGGCCCGUUACUGACGCUGAGGCGCGAAAGCGUGGGGAGCAAACAGG